UCGAACGAAGGCUUCGGCCUUAGUGGCGCACGGGUGCGUAACGCGUGGGAAUCUGCCUUGGGGUUCGGAAUAACUCCCCGAAAGGGGUGCUAAUACCGGAUGAUGUCGAAAGACCAAAGAUUUAUCGCCCUGAGAUGAGCCCGCGUAAGAUUAGCUAGUUGGUGGGGUAAAGGCCUACCAAGGCGACGAUCUUUAGCUGGUCUGAGAGGAUGAUCAGCCACACUGGGACUGAGACACGGCCCAGACUCCUACGGGAGGCAGCAGUGGGGAAUAUUGGACAAUGGGCGAAAGCCUGAUCCAGCAAUGCCGCGUGAGUGAUGAAGGCCUUAGGGUUGUAAAGCUCUUUUACCCGGGAUGAUAAUGACAGUACCGGGAGAAUAAGCUCCGGCUAACUCCGUGCCAGCAGCCGCGGUAAUACGGAGGGAGCUAGCGUUG
rnacentral:rRNA from 1 species